rnacentral:rRNA from 1 species
CAUGCAGUCGAGCGAGAACCGGGGCUUCGGCCCCGGGGUACAGCGGCGGAACGGCCCCUUUAAGACGUGGGUUAAUCUGCCCUCGGUUCUGGGAUAGCCCGNGGAAACCCGGAUUAAUACCGGAUAGCCUCUCGAGUCCUCGGACUCGAGAGAAAAGGUAGCUUCGGCCUCCGACCGAGGAGGAGCCUGCGGCGGAUUAGCUUGUUGGCGGGGUAACGGCCCACCAAGGCGACGAUCCGUAGCUGGUCUGAGAGGACGAUCAGCCACACUGGGACUGAGACACGGCCCAGACUCCUACGGGAGGCAGCAGUGGGGAAUCUUGCGCAAUGGGCGAAAGCCUGACGCAGCGACGCCGCGUGAGGGAAGAAGGCCUUCGGGUUGUAAACCUCUUUCAGGGGGGACGAAGCCACUCGGGUUAAUAGCCCAGAGGGUGACGGUACCUCCAGAAGAAGCCCCGGCUAACUACGUGCCAGCAGCCGCGGUAAUACGUAGGGGGCAAGCGUUGUCCGGAUUUAUUGGGCGUAAAGAGCGUGUAGGCGGCCAGGUAGGUCUGCUGUGAAAAACUCGAGGCUCAAACCUCGAGCUGUCGGCGGGAAAACCAUCUUGGCUAGAGUCCGGA